rnacentral:rRNA from 1 species
CCUACGGGAGGCAGCAGUGAGGAAUAUUGGUCAAUGGGCGGAAGCCUGAACCAGCCAAGUCGCGUGAGGGAAGACGGCCCUACGGGUUGUAAACCUCUUUUGUCGGGGAGCAAGGUCCGGGUCGAGACCCGCUCUGGGAGUAACUCAGGGAAAAGGAUCGGCUAACGCCGUGCCAGCCGCCGCGGUAAUACGGGGGCUUGGAGCGUUAUCCGGAUUUAUUGGGGUUAAAGGGUGCGCUGGCGGGGGUUUAAGUCAGCGGUAAAAGAUCGGGGCUCAACCCCGUUCCGCCGUUGAAACUGGGUGCCUUGAGUGGGCGAAGGGUAGGCGGAAUGCGUGGUGUAGCGGUGAAAUGCAUAGAUAUCACGCAGAACCCCGAUCGCGAAGGCAGCCUACCGGCGCGCAACUGACGCUGAGGCACGAAAGUGCGGGGAUCGAACAGGAUUAGAUACCCUGGUAGUC